ACAGGUCACCGUCCUGCUACUAAGAAGAAGUCACCUCCCUAAAUCAGACUUCCUGCCAGGCUACAGCUGUACAUUCACACCCUCCACAUCUGACAGAUGACUGCACAAGAGGAAAAGCACAUCGGCUGCAUGAGAAAAACAACAACAACCAGAAACAAAGAUGCUACACAAAACAGUUGAGGAGCAAUCAAGAGGCACAGAUGAGCAGGAGAGUAGCACAGAAUGGAGUGCAUGCCAAGCUCAGAGAAGACCACACGCCUGGUACUUACUAUGAACAGACAAGCAAAGGGAAGAAGCAGAAAAAGAAGAAAACGCGGAUUAGAGUGUGAGCCACCUUCAGUCCCCUUAUCGGGAGAAAGACGGCCUAUAAAUAAGUCAAAUAAAUUAAUUGAAUAAAUUGAAAACACCAUGCAAAAUGUUGUCAUCAAACACCAUUUAAAAAUUAUACUUCUAUCACACUCUUGAUCUUGGAAAUAAUUCAACCUAACCAACACACAACAUAACAAGCCUAGGGGGACUGGUCCAGUCCAACAAUCCUGAAGACAGCAGCUGAAGAACAGACAUGCAUGUCAGGAGUUAACUGAAACAACACAGCAAACCAAAGAUUGCCAGCCACGGGAGAAAUACAGAAGAUGAAGGCUGCAGAGCUCCAUGGUAUAAAAGGGCCUUCUCCUACAUCGAUUUCCCAGCCUCCGAAAUCCAGGUGGAAAAGCCUGUCUUGUGACUUCUGUAACUGAAGUCCAAACACAAGAGAUAUGAAAACAGUAAACGGGGACAACUAAUGGAUAAAUACAUGCAUAUCACUUGCUUACUGGGAGAUGUGUGGGAUGUCGGCAAUGAUUU